rnacentral:tRNA from 1 species
GCUGGCUCAGUGGUAGAGCUCUUGCCUUGCAUGCAUGAGGCCCUAGGUUUGAAUCCUCAGCA